rnacentral:rRNA from 1 species
UACGUAGGGUGCAAGCGUUGUCCGGAAUUAUUGGGCGUAAAGAGCUCGUAGGCGGUGUGUCGCGUCGGCCGUGAAAACCUGGGGCUUAACUCUGGGCUUGCGGUCGAUACGGGCAUCACUGGAGUUCGGCAGGGGAGACUGGAAUUCCUGGUGUAGCGGUGAAAUGCGCAGAUAUCAGGAGGAACACCGGUGGCGAAGGCGGCUCACUGGUCCGGUACUGACGCUGAGGUGCGAAAGCGUGGGGAGCAAACAGG